CUACGGGAGGCAGCAGUUGGGAAUCUUGCACAAUGGGGGAAACCCUGAUGCAGCGACGCCGCGUGGAGGACGAAGGAUUUAGGUCUGUAAACUCCUUUUACCAGGAAAGACUUAGGACGGUACCUGGUGAAUAAGCCCCGGCUAACUACGUGCCAGCAGCCGCGGUGAUACGUAGGGGGCAAGCGUUGUCCGGAUUUACUGGGCGUAAAGGGCGCGUAGGCGGUCCGCUAAGCAUGAAGUGAAAUCUCCAGGGCUCAACCCGGAAACUGCUUUGUGAACUGGCGGACUCGAGGGAGGCAGAGGUAGAUGGAAUUCCCGGUGUAGCGGUGACAUGCAUUGAUAUCGGGAGGAACACCCAUGGCGAAGGCAGUCUACUGGGCCUCUCCUGACGCUGAGGCGCGAAAGCGUGGGUAGCAAACAGAAUUAGAUACCCGAGUAGUCC
rnacentral:rRNA from 1 species